AUACGUAGGGAGCAAGCGUUGUCCGGAAUUACUGGGCGUAAAGGGCGCGUAGGCGGGUAUUUAAGUCAGGAGUGAAAACUCCGAGCUCAACUUGGAGAUUGCACUUGAAACUGGGUAUCUUGAGGGCAGGAGAGGAAAGUGGAAUUCCUAGUGUAGCGGUGAAAUGCGUAGAUAUUAGGAGGAACACCAGUGGCGAAGGCGACUUUCUGGACUGUACCUGACGCUGAGGCGCGAAAGCGCGGGUAGCGAACGGGAUUAGAUACCCCGGUAGUCCACGCUGUAAACGAUGAAUACUAGGUGUAGGAGGUAUCGACCCCUUCUGUGCCGCAGUUAACACAAUAAGUAUUCCGCCUGGGGAGUACGAUCGCAAGAUUGAAACUCAAAUGAAUUGGCGGGG
rnacentral:rRNA from 1 species